CCCUAAUGAAAUGCCCUGCACUGCGCUAGCUGAGCUCGGGCUUUUCACACCCUUGCUCACAAAUCACCAACAUCCAUGGAGCAGAAACGGUGUUUCGACACCGUAAUCCGUGAAAUCGUAGCUCUCCUCUCUUCAAAUCCUGCCACACUGCAUCGCCCACUCAAAGUUCCACCUUCUCUCCCCAAUCAAAUUUCUGCCAAAGCCCUCCUUAUCUCCAGAUCCUAUCUCAUUUCCUCUAACGCUGACUCCAC
rnacentral:misc_RNA from 1 species